UGAAGCAGUGAAGAUAAUUGAUGCCACAUGAAUUGUAGAUGGUGAAUAAUAUGUGUGUCUGGAACUUUGAGGUCUAA
ensembl:snoRNA